UACAGAGGGGGCAAGCGUUAUUCGGAAUUAUUGGGCGUAAAGGGCGCGUAGGCGGCUUGGCAAGUGGAAGGUGAAAUCCCUCGGCUUAACCGAGGAACUGCCCUCCAAACUGCUUCGCUUGAGACCGGGAGAGGUGAGUGGAAUUCCCAGUGUAGCGGUGAAAUGCGUAGAUAUUGGGAGGAACACCAGUGGCGAAGGCGGCUCACUGGACCGGUACUGACGCUGAAGCGCGAAAGCGUGGGGGGCAAACGGG
rnacentral:rRNA from 1 species